ACACAUUUGGCGCUGAGAAAGCCACUCGACCACGUCAGAGAUGGGUAUUUCUUCAUAUAUCUCAUUCUCUCUCUCUUUUUUUUACAUGAAUUCAUUCGUGUCCGGCGACACAGAGAAAAUGAAUAAAAAGAAAAGCACUUCGGGAUACAUACACAAAAAUAUCCCCCGCCGAAAGCGAUGAGAAAAAAAAAGCUACGGGUAAUGUCGAAGACGCUCAAUUGUUUAUUUCUCCACAAUACUAUGCUCCCGAGUCCCAACAAACCAGAAGUAGUUCAACUCUCUCUUUAUUCUUAUGCCAAUGCUGCGCGGCCAAAAUCAAGACAAGUCUUAAUAUAUAUUCCAAAACCAGGAGUGGCAAAGUGUGUAAUCAUCUCUUUUUUUUUGGGUGAGUGGCCAACAAAUAACAUUGCCAUUCAUUGCAAUCGUGUGAGCUGGUCGAGGCAUAUGAGUCAGCCAAGCACCUGGAAUGUAACCUAUCAAUAUCAUUAGUCCCACCUCAUUUUGCCUCAAAUGGGCCAGCCUUCCAUCAUCACUACCUAUGUUGGUUUAGGCAGAUUCCAGCCGUUGGUGUAACAUUGAUGACUUGGAAUACAUGUACGGACUUUGGAAGUAUUCAGUGACAUAUAUAGUUUAUAUCUAAAAGGCAAACUCAUUAAGUUCCCGGGGACACACGUCGUGUAAAGCACCUGUGGACGUAUGUGCGAUCGGACUGGGAGAGGGACCACUGUCGUUAAACAUUUGAAAACUCGAUGGAGGAGAUAUCAGGAGUAACAAUCCGUGAGCAGUUGAGGGAGAAAAUGUGAGAGAAAGUGUGGAAAAAUUUUCUGUUAUUUUUCUAUACCGUAACUUUCAAUACA